rnacentral:rRNA from 1 species
GGUAGCGGGAAGAAGCGUUGCUWCUUUGCCGACGAGUGGCGGACGGGUGAGUAAUGUCUGGGGAUCUGCCCGAUGGAGGGGGAUAACCACUGGAAACGGUGGCUAAUACCGCAUAACGUCGCAAGACCAAAGUGGGGGACCUUCGGGCCUCACACCAUCGGAUGAACCCAGAUGGGAUUAGCUAGUAGGKGGGGUAACGGCUCACCUAGGCGACGAUCCCUAGCUGGUCUGAGAGGAUGACCAGCCACACUGGAACUGAGACACGGUCCAGACUCCUACGGGAGGCAGCAGUGGGGAAUAUUGCACAAUGGGCGCAAGCCUGAUGCAGCCAUGCCGCGUGUAUGAAGAAGGCCUUCGGGUUGUAAAGUACUUUCAGCGGGGAGGAAGGCGAUGCGGUUAAUAACCGCGUCGAUUGACGUUACCCGCAGAAGAAGCACCGGCUAACUCCGUGCCAGCAGCCGCGGUAAUACGGAGGGUGCAAGCGUUAAUCGGAAUUACUGGGCGUAAAGCGCACGCAGGCGGUCUGUUAAGUCAGAUGUGAAAUCCCCGGGCUCAACCCGGGAACUGCAUUUGAAACUGGCAGGCUUGAGUCUCGUAGAGGGGGGUAGAAUUCCAGGUGUAGCGGUGAAAUGCGUAGAGAUCUGGAGGAAUACCGGUGGCG